UUUUUUUCCCCCAGUCAUGAGCAUAAAUGAUGCCCCUGCAGGGCAGUGCCUGAGAGGGUCAGAGAAGGGCCGGUCCCUCAGGCCAGCUGGGCUCUCCUAUCCCUCAGGCAGAGGAGGGGUUGGCAGGCCCCAGAUGCCUUUCGUCAAGAAGACAAGGAUGGCUUUGAAGGCUCCUUGGAAGGUUGCCGCUUGCCCACGGACAAUCCCGGGAGCUAGGGUAUCACAAAAUUCAAGGAAGCCCGGGAGGAGAAGCCAGCUCUGCUAGUGGCUCAGGAAGGACUGCAGGAUGAGUCAGACCUUAACAAGGAGAUCCUCUGAAGACAAGACUCCUUCCCUACCCCUUGGGGGUCACCCCUAAUGGUUUAAUUCAACAAAAAAUGUCUGCCAUUUCCUGUAACCUCUGUCUUCCCUACCCCAACUCCUUCAAGAUGCUCUGCUGCUAUCUAGUCCCCUCUACCUUCUUGUCUCUUAGCUCAGGGGCAUUUCCAAACUGCCAGCCCCAUGCUGCUUCCACAGCCUGAUUUCUUAGAGCCUGGCCUCCUCCCACAUGCUGUCUCAUCCAAUCCGCUCUGCAGCUCCCUAAGGGGACAUUAUAGUGCCCAGAUAGGAAAACCAAAGCACAAAGAAGUGACAUGACUUGCCCCAACCACACAGCCAGUGACUAGCAAGACUCAAACUGGGGUUCGUCAUGAUGUGAGACCCCUCAGUACAUGAGUGUGCUCCAAGUACAGGAC
rnacentral:lncRNA from 1 species